rnacentral:rRNA from 1 species
CUUUUCAUCGCAUGGUGAGAAGAAAGAAAGGAACGGCCUCUACACAAAGCGGUCGCCGAAGGAGGGGUUUUGCGUCUGAUUAGCUAGUUGGGGGGUAACGGCCCAACAAGGCGACGAUCAGUAGCCGGUCUGAGAGGAUGAACGGCCACAUUGGGACUGAGACACGGCCCAGACUCCUACGGGAGGCAGCAGUGGGGAAUCUUCCGCAAUGGACGAAAGUCUGACGGAGCAACGCCGCGUGAGUGAAGACGGUCUUCGGAUUGUAAAGCUCUGUUAUACGGGACGAACGGCAAGGUGGUAAAUAGCCAUCAUGAGUGACGGUACCGUAAGAGAAAGCCACGGCUAACUACGUGCCAGCAGCCGCGGUAAAU